AAUGAUUCCUUCCGCAGUGUACACUUGUAGAAGCCUUUGCAGCCACGCAAGUGGUAGAUCCAGGCGACUUUAAAUAAUUCCAGGAUCGCGAUGCAAGUCGGCCCACGCACAUGGUGCCGGCGACACUUUCGAAUUGACGGGGACACCCUAAAGCCUGUCGCACCAACUCUGUGUGGGAAACCGCUCGAGGGCCCGUGCUAACUACACGGGGUGGUAAAAGACGACAUGGAUACUUUCACGCCUUUGGUGUGGAUACUAUGGGCAAUCCGCAGCGAAGCCUCUAAGUCCGGCCGCCGGAUACGAGGAACGUUCACAGACUAAGUGGAAGUGGGUGGAGCGUUUGCCGCUCUGCUUAAGAUAUAGUCGGUCCUCUUAGGAAACCAAGGGGGUGAGUACACUGCUUGAAAUUUAAACACGAACGUGCGUAAUUACAAUCCACGGCGCUCAUGUUAGAAUUUCGAGACUGUCAAUUGCUUCGCGGUUUGACAGCUCUUAAAACGUUCCGUAGGUGAACCUGCGGAAGGAUCAUUA
rnacentral:ncRNA from 1 species